UACGGAGGGCGCGAGCGUUGUCCGGAUUCACUGGGUGUAAAGGGCGCGUAGGCGGGUUUGUAAGUCAGGGGUGGAAUCUCACGGCUUAACCGUGAAACUGCCUCUGAUACUGCAAAUCUUGAGUUCGGAAGAGAGUAGCGGAAUUCCAGGUGUAGUGGUGAAAUACGUAGAUAUCUGGAAGAACACCAGUGGCGAAGGCGGUUACUUGGUCCGUAACUGACGCUGAGGCGCGAAAGCGUGGGGAGCAAACAGGAUUAGAUACCCUGGUAGUCCACGCUGUAAACGAUGAAUACUAGGUGUUGGUCCCGUUAGGGAUCAGUGCCGCAGCUAACGCAUUAAGUAUUCCACCUGGGGAGUACGAUCGCAAGGUUGAAACUCAAAGGAAUUGACGGGGGCCCGCACAAGCAGUGGAGCAUGUGGUUUAAUUCGAUGCAACGCGAAGAACCUUACCUAGGCUUGAAAGGCAGAUGACAGGGUAUGAAAGUACCCCUCCCGCAAGGGCAUCUGUACAGGUGCCGCAUGGCUGUCGUCAGCUCGUGCCGUGAGGUGUUGGGUUAAGUCUCGCAACGAGCGCAACCCCUACCAUUAGUUGCCAUCAGGUAAUGNUGGGCACUCUAAUGGGACUGCCUAACGUAAGUAGUGAGGAAGGUGGGGAUGACGUCAAGUCAGCAUGGCCCUUACGCCUAGGGCUACACACGUGCUACAAUGGGUGUUACAACGGGUAGCGAAACCGCGAGGUGGAGCCAAUCCCUUAAAAGCACCCUCAGUUCGGAUUGGAGUCUGCAACCCGACUCCAUGAAGCUGGAAUUGCUAGUAAUCGCGCAUCAGCACGGCGCGGUGAAUACGUUCCCGGGCCUUGUACACACCGCCCGUCAAGCCAUGGAAGCCGGGGGUACCCGAAGCCAGUGACCCAACCCACUUCGGUGGGAGGGAGCUGUCGAAGGUAAAACCGGUGACCGGGGAU
rnacentral:rRNA from 1 species